CACCACAACGGGUGGAGCUUGCGGUUUAAUUGGAUUCAACGCCGGAAAUCCUACCGGGACCGACAGCAAUAUGAAGGCCAGGCUGAAGACUUUGCCGGAUUAGCUGAGAGGUGGUGCAUGGCCGUCGUCAGUUCGUACUGUGAAGCAUCCUGUUAAGUCAGGCAACGAGCGAGACCCACGCCCACAGUUGCCAGCGUACUCUCUGGAGUGACGGGUACACUGUGGGGACCGCCGCUGCUAAAGCGGAGGAAGGAAUGGGCAACGGUAGGUCAGUAUGCCCCGAAUAUCCCGGGCUACACGCGAGCUACAAUGGUUGGUACAAUGGGUAUCUACCCCGAAAGGGGACGGGAAUCUCCUAAAACCAAUCUUAGUUCGGAUUGAGGGCUGCAACUCGCCCUCAUGAAGCUGGAAUCCGUAGUAAUCGCGUUUCAACAGAACGCGGUGAAUACAUCCCUGCUCCUU
rnacentral:rRNA from 1 species